rnacentral:lncRNA from 1 species
AGUAAGCUUUUAUUCAUAAUAGCCCCAAACUGGAAACAACCCAAAUGUCCAUCUGCAGUAGAAUGGACCCAUUGUGGCAUAUUCAUAGAAUGCAGUGCAAACCAGCAGAGGAAAAGACCAGACUGCAGCUGCAUACAACAUGGAUGCCUCUCGCAGACAUGGUGUGAGACCGAAGCAGCCCAUGGGAGAGCACAAUUCUAUUUCUGUGAAGUUUCUGCAGAACGAGAGCUUGCUGAUGUCACAGCCCAAAUUCCCACAGCAUGUGGAAGGGAGCAAGAAAAGCUCUCAGCAACCUGGCUUAGAGGCUUCACUAGGAAGACGUGCCCUCCUCCAUCCCAGCAUUCUACAGGUCAGUGGCCCAGGGGUGCCGUCCACCGGUCCAAGCCCACCAGAAUCCAGAGAUCAAGGUGCCCGUUGAGGCAGCUCAUGCAUCUGCAGACAGAAGGAGAACAGUUUCCCCCUGGAGUUCUGUGUGCUGCCUCAGCCUUACGAUUCCUAUUCUUCAGCUCCACCAGCCUUAGCCACCUGUUCACACCGCUGACACUAGAUUUUGUUACAACCAAGCCCUGUACCACCUCUGAAACCUCAAUUCCCAGCAUCCGCUGCCAUCGCCUUUUGUCCUCCCGACUCACUGGCUCUGCACUCCCACGUCAACCAUCCCCCCAACCCAGGUGAGGCUCCCCUCCCCAGCCCGUGUC